rnacentral:tRNA from 1 species
GGGCCCUUAGCUCAGUUGGUUAGAGCACUUGACUCAUAAUCAAGUGGUCGCUGGUUCGAGCCCAGCAGGGCCCACUA